rnacentral:tRNA from 1 species
UCACUGAUGCCUCAGUGGUAAAGCAUCUGCCUACCAUGCAGGUGACCCAGGUUCAAUUCCUGGGUUGGGAA